rnacentral:rRNA from 1 species
UAGUGGCGGACGGGUGAGUAACGCGUGGGAAUCUGCCCUCAGGAGGGGGAUAACGGUUGGAAACGACCGCUAAUACCCCAUAUGCCGAGAGGUGAAACGAAAUUCGCCUGAGGAUGAGCCCGCGUCUGAUUAGCUAGUUGGUGGGGUAAAGGCCUACCAAGGCAUCGAUCAGUAGCUGGUCUGAGAGGAUGAUCAGCCACACUGGGACUGANACACGGCCCAGACUCCUAAGGGAGGCAGCAGUGGGGAAUUUUCCGCAAUGGGCGCAAGCCUGACGGAGCAACGCCGCGUGAGGGAUGAAGGCCUCUGGGCUGUAAACCUCUUUUCUCAAGGAAGAAGAACUGACGGUACUUGAGGAAUAAGCCACGGCUAA